CUCCAUCACAAGACACAGGAGAAGGAUUUUAGGUACAUCCGCCUCCUGCUUUUUCUUUGUAGGGAGCCCCCUCCCUGGAGCCUAAAGAUAAUCUGGCCUGCCAACCACUGUUUCCACUUCACCUGAAAUAUCUACAAGAUUCUUUUAGAGAAAGACCUGUUAGCACAUUGAUUUAUACUAUUAAAAAUUUGUAUCCCUGCCUUUUACUUGACAUCAAAGAGCCCAUUCCACACCACUCCAUUGUGUUUAUUUU